rnacentral:rRNA from 1 species
AUGGCUCAGUGAGGCCUUGGGACUGGCUCAGAGAGGUCGGCAACGACCACUCAGAGCCGGAAACUUGGUCAAACUUGGUCAUUUAGAGGAAGUAAAAGUCGUAACAAGGUUUCCGUAGGUGAACCUGCGGAAGGAUCAUUACCGAGUUAGGGUCUCUCCCGGCCCGACCUCCCAACCCUAUGUUUACUGAACCUUCGUUGCUUCGGCGGACCCGCCUCUAGGCCGCCGGAGGACCGCCUCACGGCGUCCUCUGGCCCGCGUCCGUCGACGGCCAACCUCAAAACGCUGAAAUAACCGUGUUGUGUGUCUCAGUCCCAUGAUGAAAUUAAAGCAAAAACUUUCAACAACGGAUCUCUUGGUUCUGGCAUCGAUGAAGAACGCAGCGAAAUGCGAUAAGUAAUGCGAAUUGCAGAAUUCCAGUGAGUCAUCGAAUCUUUGAACGCACAUUGCGCCCUUUGGCAUUCCGAAGGGCAUGCCUGUUCGAGCGUCAUUAUCACCCCUCGGGCCCUGUGCUCGAUGUUGGACGGCUGGUUGGGCAACCGACCCCUCCUAAAGAAAAUGACGGCGGCCUGUGGCGCCCCCGGUACACUGAGCUUUUCACGGAGCACGUACCGGACGAGGGCGCCCGGGACCCGGUCCUCUCCUCUCAGUAGGAAACUUUUCAAGGUUGACCUCGGAUCAGGUAGGAAUACGCGCUGAACUUAAGCAUAUCAAUAAGCGCAGGAAAAGAAACCAACAGGGAUUACCUCAGUAACGGCGAGUGAAGCGGUAACAGCUCAAAUUUGAAAUCUGGCCUCUCGGGGUCCGAGUUGUAAUUUGUAGAGGAUGUUUUGGGUACCGCCCCGGUCUAAAUUUCUUGGAACAGAAUGUCAUAGAGGGUGAGAAUCCCGUCUUGGACCGGCGGUAGGGCCUGUGUAAAACUCCUUCGACGAGUCGAGUUGUUUGGGAAUGCAGCUCAAAAUGGGUGGUAAAUUUCAUCUAAAGCUAAAUAUUGGCCAGAGACCGAUAGCGCACAAGUAGAGUGAUCGAAAGAUGAAAAGCACUUUGAAAAGAGAGUUAAACAGUAUGUGAAAUUGUUGAAAGGGAAGCGCUUGCAACCAGACUUGAGCGCGGCGGUUCCCCCAGCCUUUUGGCCGGGCUACUCCGCCGUGUCCAGGCCAACAUCGGUUCUGAGGGUCGGUUAAAGGCCCCGGGAAUGUAUCUACCCACGGGUAGACUUAUAGACCGGGGUGCCAUGCGGCCUCUCGGGACCGAGGAACGCGCUUCGGCUCGGAUGUUGGCGUAAUGGUUGUCAGCGACCCGUCUUGAAACACGGACCAAGGAGUCUAACAUCUAUGCGAGUGUUUGGGUGUCAAACCCGGAACGCGGAAUGAAAGUGAACGGAGGUAGGAAGCUUCGGCUGCACUAUCGACCGAUCCUGAAGUUUACGGAAGGAUUUGAGUAAGAGCAUAGCUGUUGGGACCCGAAAGAUGGUGAACUAUGCCUGAAUAGGGUGAAGCCAGAGGAAACUCUGGUGGAGGCUCGCAGCGGUUCUGACGUGCAAAUCGAUCGUCAAAUUUGGGUAUAGGGGCGAAAGACUAAUCGAACCAUCAGAGACACACUGCGUUAUCAAAGGUGGAAGAACUUGGAUGCGUCCGCGGGGGCCAUCGCGUCAAUACUUGCCAUGUAGGCUUUAUGGGAGAAAGGGAAUCCCGCUCGUAUUUUAUGACCCGACCCGGGGACAACAAUAUCCUUAUUUAAGGAGCAUCUUUAUCAACGUAUUCUUACCGUAGUAGUUACCGGUGGUUGAGUGUAACCAUGAAAGUGGUUGCAAGUGCCUAGUUCUGGCGCGACACUAUCAAAUUGCGGGGACUCCCUAAAGCUUUAACGACCGCCCCGCCUAUGAAAAUAUGGCGCGGGCACCGGGUUAAUGACCCCGGGUAUGGUAAAACUGUUAAAGAUGCGACAAUGGGUAAUCUGCAGCCAAGUCCUAAGGGCCCAUUGGCCUAUGGACACAGUUCACAGACUAAAUGGUAGUGGGCUCUUCGUGGGCUUAAGAUAUAGUCGGUCCCCCAGGGAAACCUGGGCACACUCGCUAAAUCUGGGGGGAAGACUCUGCCUCGGGCAGUUCCUCCAGACCUGAACGGUGUGGGCGCCCUCGGG